CCUGGAAACAGAUGCUAAUACCGGAUAACAACAGAUGAUGCCUAUCAACUGUUUAAAAGAUGGUUCUGCUAUCACUCUUGGAUGGACCUGCGGUGCAUUAGCUAGUUGGUAGGGUAACGGCCUACCAAGGCGAUGAUGCAUAGCCUAGUUGAGAGACUGAUCGGCCACAUUGGGACUGAGACACGGCCCAAACUCCUACGGGAGGCAGCAGCG
rnacentral:rRNA from 1 species